rnacentral:rRNA from 1 species
GCUUGUCUCAAAGAUUAAGCCAUGCAUGUAUAAGUAUAAACGCUUUAAGCGUGAAACCGCGAACGGCUCAUUACAACAGCUAUAAUUUACUUGAUCUUGACAAACUUACAUGGAUAACUGAGGUAAUUCUUGAGCUAAUACAUGCACCAAAACUUUGACCGUAAGGGAAGAGCGCAUUUAUUAGAACAAAACCAAACGGCUUCGGCUGUUCCCAGUUGAAUCAGAAUAACUCAGCUGAUCGUACGGUCUUGCACCGACGACGUGUCUUUCAAGCAUCUGCUUUAUCAACUUUCGAUGGUAGGGUAUCUGCCUACCAUGGUGGUGACGGAUAACAGAGGGUCAGGGUUCGACUCCGGAGAAGGGGCCUGAGAAAUGGCCACUACGUCUAAGGAUGGCAGCAGGCGCGCAAAUUACCCACUCUCAGAAUUUGGAGGAGGUAGUGACGAGAAAUAACGAGGUUGAUCUCUUCUGAGGCAAACCAUCGGAAUGGGUACAAUUUAAACCCUUUAACGAGUAUCUAUGAGAGGGCAAGUCUGGUGCCAGCAGCCGCGGUAAUUCCAGCUCUCAAAAUGCAUAGAAUUAUUGCUGCGGUUAAAAAGCUCGUAGUUGGAUCUGCAGCCGGAGCUCCGGUCCAUCUUCGGAUGUGUACUGGAUGUCUCCGGCUUUCUGACAGUGUUCGGCUCUGUGCCUCUAACCAGGUAUGGAUGUCCGAUACUGUAAGUUUACUUUGAAUAAAUCAGAGUGCUCUAAACAGGCGUUUUGCUUGAAUGAUUGUGCAUGGAAUAAUAGAAGAGGAUUUCGGUUCUAUUUUAUUGGUUUUAUAGACUGAGAUAAUGGUUAACAGAGACAAACGGGGGCAUUUGUAUGGCUACGUGAGAGGUGAAAUUCUUGGACC